CUCAUUGUAGUUUUGAUUUGCAUUUCUCUAAUAGUAAGUGAUUUUGAGCAUCUUUUCAUGUGAUUAUUAGCCUUCUGUAUGUUGUCUUUAGUGAAAUGUCGUCCAUUCUUUGGCCCAUUUUUUGAUUGGGUUGUUUAUUU